AGCCCCGCAGCGGCCGCGCUCGCAGACGCGUCCGGCUGCAGCCUCCUGCAGGAGGUUGAGGAGCCGGUGCGACAGGGACAGACGGCUUCCCCGGAACAGCGAGGCGCAGCGAGAGACUCGGAGCCCCCGGCGCCUCCCCGUGCGCCGGUGAAGCGCACUUGAGAUGUACCCAUGCAGACCUUCUGUCUCAGGUCCAUAGCCUGACCUGUAUCCACAUUGCAGAAUGACAGGAUCUGAACCCAAGUCAUAGAGGGACUUGGGCUAAGACCCACCCCCUGGAUGAGUCCCAGGACUCAGGUCCUGAGUGCUUGCUGAGGUCAGUGCUCCAACAUCAUCUGGAAAGUAAUAGCUGGUGUUGCUGUGACUGUCGCUGUGGUUGAGGCUGUGGUUAUUUUGACAGUUCUCAAUUCCAAACUGAUUUUGGUAGCUGCUAUGUGAAAUUAUUGGAGCUGGUACCCAAAGCUUUAUGCUACAUGAAAGCAACUCGGAAUUGCAUUGGGAGUACCUGGGUAUGACUGAGAUCAGAAUUUGGUCCCUGUCUCUUGCUUCAUUUUCUUCAGUGUAUUCACUUUUCUGUCCCAUCUGAUGCUUUCUUUUGUGUCACUUUUUUUCUUUUCUUUCCCUUUCAUUAGCUACUUUCUUUCUCUCUCACGUUACUCUUUACUCUCCACUCUGCUGUUUCAUUUUUUUUUCCUUCUAGCUUUAGAAGUAAACUGCAAAAGGAAAAUAAGGGGCAUGGGCACUUUAUUCCCUGCUGCAUUAUGAUUUAUAGAGAAUGACUGAGAUUAUUUUUAAAUGGGUUUGUUCUGUUUGUUUGGUUUUUAUUUUUUAAAUUUAAAACUUCAGAUCUUGCCUUCUCGGUAAAACACUGUGAACUCUAUGCAUAAGAUACGUUGCCAGAGGAAUAACUUUAAAAAAUGUUGUUUUUUUUCUGGGUUUUUAUAUGUCAUAAAAAACUAAAGACAACUUCCCCGCCCUUUUCUUUGCAUGUCACCUUGAACCAGUUUUUCCUGUCCCUUCUUCUUCACUCCAUGCUCCCUCCUUCUCCUCUACUGCAAAUGUUGUUGUGUUCAGAGGAAAACCAAAAACUGCUUUCCUUCUCCUUUAGUCUGUGAGGAGACAAGUCAAGACUUAACUGCAGCUCCAGGUUGCCAAAUGCAGCAUUUUGUUCUUUCUGCAUCCUGUGUGCAGCG